GUUCUGUAGGUGUGGCUCCACCGUCUGAACUGGCAGCGGGUCUGGACCCUCUCACCGCCUGCAGGAGCCUCAGAAGGUCAGGGUGUCACAGGACUGGCCUGGAGACCGGACGGACAAGUGCUGGGUGUUGGUUACCAGAGUGGGCAGGUGGUCCUGUGUGAUGUAGAGAAGGCUGAGGUUCUGCACACGUCUACCCUGGCACACCCAGUCUCCUGUAUGACAUGGCAGGAGGCAGAGGACAAACACAGCGGAGUGACAGCCUCCCCAGUCCAUGUGGACCAGUCAUCAUCCCCAGCCUCCAGUCAAACCACACCGCAGGAUACAGCAGCAGAGUUUCUCCCCAGGCUCACACCUCUACCUAA